rnacentral:misc_RNA from 1 species
AGCAGCCGCGGUAAUUCCAGCUCCAAUAGCGUAUACUAAAGUUGUUGCAGUUAAAAAGCUCGUAGUUGAAUUUUGGGUCUGGCCGGGCGGUCCGCCCUCUGGGUGAGCACUGUUCCGACGCCGGGCCUAUCCUUCUGGUGAGUCGGCAUGUCCUUUAUUGGGUGUGUCGGGGAACCAGGACCAUUACCUUGAAAAAUUAGAGUGUUCAAAGCAGGCGUAUGCUCGAAUACAUUAGCAUGGAAUAAUGAAAUAGGACGCGUGGUGCUAUUUUGUUGGUUUCUAGAACCGCCGUAAUGAUUAAUAGGGAUAGUUGGGGGCAUUAGUAUUCAAUUGUCAGAGGUGAAAUUCUUGGAUUUAUUGAAGACUAACUUCUGCGAAAGCAUUUGCCAAGGAUGUUUUCAUUAAUCAAGAACGAAAGUUAGGGGAUCGAAGACGAUCAGAUACCGUCGUAGUCUUAACCAUUAAACUNUGCCGACUAGGAAUCGGGCGAUGUUAUUCUCAUGACUCGCCCGGCGCCUU